rnacentral:rRNA from 1 species
UACGGGGGGGAGCAAGCGUUGUCCGGAUUUACUGGGCGUAAAGAGCGCGCAGGCGGUCGUUCAAGUCGGAUGUGAAAGCCCCCGGCUCAACUGGGGAGGGUCAUUCGAUACUGAUCGACUCGAAGGCAGGAGAGGGAAGCGGAAUUCCCGGUGUAGUGGUGAAAUGCGUAGAUAUCGGGAGGAACACCAGUGGCGAAGGCGGCUUCCUGGCCUGUUCUUGACGCUGAGGCGCGAAAGCCAGGGGAGCAAACGGG